rnacentral:misc_RNA from 1 species
GAAAUGCGAUAAUUAAUGUGAAUUGCAGAAUUCAGUGAAUCAUCGAGUCUUUGAACGCACAUUGCGCCCCCUGGUAUUCCGGGGGGCAUGCCUGUCCGAGCGUCAUUGCUGCCCUCAAGCCCGGCUUGUUUGUUGGGUCUUGUUCCUCCGGGAACAGGCCCGAAAGGCAGUGGCGGCACCGUCCGAUCCUCGAGCGUAUGGGGCUUUGUCACCCGCUCUGUAGGCCCGGCCGGCGCUUGCCGACCCCCAUCAAUCUUUUUUCAGGUUGACCUCGGAUCAGGUAGGGAUACCCGCUGAACUUAA